rnacentral:lncRNA from 1 species
AUUUUCUUGAAUAAGAUUGUCCAUAAAGAAUGCAUGCUGAACAGUGGACACCGAUGACUGGGCAGAGCCACCACAGUUUUCGGAGAUCACUGGACAUUUUGAAGUGUGAGCUCUCUGUGGAAGGCAAGCAUACGGAACUCCGUCUGGUAUUUCUUCCUGGAAACAAACCUACUCUCAGAAAACCCAUUGAAGUCCCUGUUUUACAACUAACAUAAUGGGCGUGUGGAAAUGCCUCUCCAUCCACCAGGGGGCAGAAACGAACCCUUUGAUUGGCCAGAGAUCUUUGGACUUCAACUUUGAUUUGGAAUAGUUGUAAUUUGCAUAGCCUUUUCACUCUCAGACAUCACUCUUUCUGUCACUAGGAACAUAACCAUAUAGACUUUUCAAAGAAACCUCUUAAUUCUGUGUGAAACUCUAAACUUCACUCUACCAAUAAACUUCCCCACAUUCACACUAGAGAGAUGUGAUGGGAAUGCUGGGUCUUACAUAUGGUGGUCUUCAUAUUUUCGUGGAUUUGUCUUUUGAGGCAUGGAGUGCCUGACCUUUGCGUAUGCAAGAUUCGCUAGCAUGUAAACUCUGUCACUGUCUCCCAAGAACACAGAAACAGGGCUAUUAAUAAUUUUAAUGCUUACUGUUUUGUGUAGCUUUUUUUGCAGAAACUGUCUAUUAAAAAGUCAAAUUUGGUGGUGCUUUUCUUGUGUUUUUGGUGGGGAGGCGGACCGCUUCCUGGAAGGAAGGGAUGUGUGUAAUGUAUAUAAAGUCACCUUGUGCUAUUCUCAUUCAGUUUAGCACCGUGCUGCUCAGUGAUCAUGGCCUUCAUCAAUGCAAGCAUCAAAGUAAGGGUGGCCAUUUCAGGAG